AAUCAUUAUUUUAAAUUUAAUUUUGUGUUAUUAAAAAAAAAAAAAAAAAAAAAAAAAAAAAAAAAAAAAAAAAAAAAAAAAAAAAAAAAAAAAAAAAAAAAAAAACAAAAUAAUAAAAAUAAUAAAAAUAAUCUAAAACACUAAAUCGGUGAUUGCUUAAAUUUCACUUUAAACUAAAACUUUAAAUGUCUCAAAAUAUACGACAGAAAAUGGACAGAGUUUCCACUACUUAACAAUGGCUAUCGUUCACUCGCUAAUACCAAAAAGGAAUCUGCCUCUUUACCGAUCCAAAUACGCUUACGUCAAC
rnacentral:misc_RNA from 1 species